AGCGAACGCUGGCGGCAGGCUUAACACAUGCAAGUCGAACGGCCCUUCGGGAUGGUGGCGGACGGGUGAGUAACACGUGGGAACGUACCCUUAGGUUCGGAGCAACACUGGGAAACUUGUGCUAAUACCGGAUAAGCCCUUCGGGGGAAAGAUUUAUCGCCUUUGGAGCGGCCCGCGUCUGAUUAGCUUGUUGGUGAGGUAAUGGCUCACCAAGGCUACGAUCAGUAGCUGGUCUGAGAGGGUGGCCAGCCACACUGGGACUGAGACACGGCCCAGACUCCUACGGGGGGCAGCAGUGGGGAAUCUUGCGCAAUGGGGGGAAGCCUGACGCAGCCAUGCCGCGUGGAUGAUGAAGGUCUUAGGAUUGUAAAAUCCUUUCACCGGGGACGAUAAUGACGGUACCCGGAGAAGAAGCCCCGGCUAACUUCGUGCCAGCCGCCGCCGUAA
rnacentral:rRNA from 1 species